rnacentral:ribozyme from 1 species
GGCAUUAUAGGCAUUUUUUUUUUUUUUUUUUUUUUUUUUUGAAAAAAAAAAAAAAAAAAAAAA